GAAAGUUGGAUCAUAUAUAGGCUAUAAUGGGUGCUUUUUUUGCACUCAGGAAUCAGAAGACAAGAAGAGGGGUUAAAUUCCGUCUCCAAAUCCACCCCCCUCUCGUACCCACCCGACUCAACGUACAGAAACCCCUCCUCUUUUCCCUCCUCUAUCCCAUCCGAACCCUAGAUUCUAACAUUUUCCAUAUGCAGAUCUGAUAACGCACUUCUCCCCCAAUAAAAGACCCUAACUUUGGAACCUCUAACAACCGGACUAAUAUGGCCGAGUUAGGGCAGCAAACGGUCGACUUCUCUACUCUUGUGAGUCGUGCCGCCGAGGAAUCUUUCCUCUCCUUGAAAGAAUUGGUUGAAAAAUCCAAAUCCUCUGACCAGUCGGAUUCCGAUAAGAAGCUUAGCCUCUUGAAGUACUUGGUUAAAACCCAGCAACGUAUGCUCAGACUGAAUGUUCUCGCUAAGUGGUGCCAACAGGUUCCUUUGAUACAGUAUUGUCAGCAACUUCAAUCUACCCUAUCAAGUCAUGAGGCGUGUUUUACCCAAACUGCAGAUUCAUUGUUUUUCAUGCAUGAGGGGUUACAGCAAGCUCGAGCACCUAUCU
rnacentral:misc_RNA from 1 species